AACGAACGCUGGCGGCAUGCCUAACACAUGCAAGUCGAACGAGACCUUCGGGUCUAGUGGCGCACGGGUGCGUAACGCGUGGGAACCUGCCCUUAGAUUCGGAAUAACUCCCCGAAAGGGGUGCUAAUACCGGAUAAUGUCUUCGGACCAAAGAUUUAUCGCCUUUGGAUGGGCCCGCGUUGGAUUAGCUAGUUGGUAGGGUAAAAGCCUACCAAGGCGACGAUCCAUAGCUGGUCUGAGAGGAUGAUCAGCCACACUGGGACUGAGACACGGCCCAGACUCCUACGGGAGGCAGCAGUGGGGAAUAUUGGACAAUGGGCGAAAGCCUGAUCCAGCAAUGCCGCGUGAGUGAUGAAGGCCUUAGGGUUGUAAAGCUCUUUUACCCGGGAUGAUAAUGACAGUACCGGGAGAAUAAGCGCCGGCUAACUCCGUG
rnacentral:rRNA from 1 species